UUUCAAAGUAUAUCAUGAUUGAAUAGCUGUAAUAUUCUAAAAAUACAAGAAUGUGAUGUUUUAGAUUAUAGACAGAAUUGAGAUCUAGACUUACUGUUUCAUAAAAUAUGUUAACAAUUUGCAAAACCAGGACUUUCAAUUAGAUUUUUUUCUUUCUUUCAUAUUUAGUUUGUUUUCUAGCAAUUAUAUGGUCUACUAACUACAUAAAAGUUACACUCAGGCAUAAUGGAAAGGGUAUCAUAAUUACGUAAUGUACACAUGAAUGAGUAAAUUAAUUUUUCAGAAAUAUUUUCCACCACUUGGCUUCAGUGGAAGAAAUAUCUGUCUACCACUUGACUUUGGGAUUCAUCAUGUGAUUUGCUUUGACCAACAGAAUGAGUCAGAAGUAGCAGCAGACCAGUGAGACUAGACUUAAGAGACCUUGCAUGUUGCUGAUUGCUUGCUUCCACUUGUACUACUACAAUGGGAAGAACAUACCCAGCCUGCCCUACUGCUUCCAGAAGGAAAACAGGAGCCCAGAUCAGCUGAUCUCCAGCUAAUCCACAAAUGGAUGAAUAUGCCAAGUUGAGAUCAGCAGGGUCAUCUAACCCAUUCAUUUGGCCUCCAGGAGAAAAUCUGCUCCUGCUACUCCCUGGAAUGGAAGCUCCUUGAACUUAGGCUUGUUAGUCAAUGGUGACUCUCAAGACUCUAAGGCAAUGUCUGGUUCUGUCAUUCUUUCACACUGUGAAUAAGGCAGUUGAACCAUGGAGAACAAUUUCCUACAGAAAAUUCUUAAAUUCUGAGUAGCAUGGUCUUGGAGAAGAAUCGUUGAAUGUUUCAAGCAUUGGUUCUGAAGUCACAUGCGAUGCCAGCAGAAAACUCUGGAUCUUCUCCUUCUGACUUGUGUCCCAUGAAGCCUCUCAACCAAUGACUCUUCCCAUCUGUCCACCCAGUGGUUAUUCUUCAGAAUUUCUGGAAAAAGAAGAAAACUUACUGUAUGUGGUGUGGGGACGAGAGGAAGCACAACACCUGUCAUUUGUCACAGAAGCAGUUACUCAGAACUUCUGCUGCUGCCUCUGAAAGGUAAAGCAAGGGAUGACUUUGCUCAACAAAACUUUCUGUGAUGACAGAAAAGCU